GUAAGAUUUGCCAGAAGGCGAGAGCGCAUGUGUAGUUCAACCAACACCCUGGCCUCCUUCGCCUACGGCCCGCCCAUCCAGCCAGGCUCUGGAUACCCUGGCCGGAAACAGUGCCCAUUUGGGGAAGGCCUCGCUAGCCAAUCGCUGCUGAGGAGUGGCCCGUAGGCCGACCGGAACAAGGCGUUUUAUUGGCUAACUUAUAGGAAUGGGUGGGAUCAUGGGUCGCGGUGCGGCCAAAGAAAGGAGGCGGGAAGCUAGCAAAGUCGCAGCCACGGGGGGAGGCGUGGCCCGGGGCGGGGCUAGCCACGGGGGCGUGGUCGAGGAGGGGCAGCAGGGGCCCGGAGCGAUCGCUGGCCAGCGAAGCACCACACUCGCUUGUUUGAGGACAACGGCGCUCCGCCGAUUCCUUUGUGAUCGGCUUGGGCUGGAGAGGACAGGGCUCACCCUGAUUGGUUGCCCCAACCCUAGACAACUGUUGUGAGAUUUUUGUGAACAGCACAUGGGCUUCUUACAGGUGCUUCUCCCCCAGGAAGACCUCUCAGGCUAACCCUGAUUGGCUUGACAGAUUUUCCCCCCCAAGGAGAAAAAAGAAAACUGAAAACCGAAUUCAGACCCAGUAGAAGGUCAGCUGCCCAUGCAGACAGACGGUUCCUCCGAUAGCACCAUCGACUAGAUGCUUUUUUUUUUUUUCCUGGCAAAAGGUUAAAAUGCAACUAAAAUUCUGCUUUCGUGAUU
ensembl:processed_transcript 1700028N14Rik RIKEN cDNA 1700028N14 gene